UACGUAGGAGGCGAGCGUUGUCCGGAAUUACUGGGCGUAAAGCGCGCGUAGGCGGCGCGACGCGACCGGUGUGAAAGCCCCCGGCUCAACUGGGGAGGGUCAUCGGUAACGGUCGUGCUGUGAGUGCAGGAGAGGGAUGUGGAACUCCGGGAGUAGCGGUGAAAUGCGUAGAUAUCGGAAGGAACACCUGUGGCGAAAGCGGCUCACUGGACCAUUACUGACACUGAGGCACGAAAGCUAGGGGAGCAAACAGG
rnacentral:rRNA from 1 species